rnacentral:lncRNA from 1 species
ACAGAAGAAAGUGAGUAAUUGUUUGUAUGAGAUUGUCAGUAGAUGUGAGGACUAUGUAGAGUACAGAUUGCAAGUUAAUUAUCGUAUAAAAGGUCAAAGAUUUUCAAAAAAGAGCAAGGACAAUGUAGGGGCAAGGUACACUUGGAUACUGUUUUAUAAAUCAGAAAACCAAACCCCAAGUGGAUUAAUUUGUGAUAUUUAUAAAUGCUUAAUAAAACUUAUAUUAAUAAUUGUCAGGUAUUAUAAGAUCUUUUGAGAGAAAACCAAAACAGUUUCUCCUCAAGUGUAAUCUGAAUACUAAGGGACUUCAGUAUUUGGGUAGCCAAAAUAUCCAAAAGAAUAGACUAUUGAAUAGAAAUAGAAUCCUGACUUUUGGUUUCCUAUAACUUUAUUGUCUAUAUUUUAGGCAAAUCAGUUUUAACCAAAUGACUAACGAGAAUGUGGCCUAUAAUCGUACAGUAUAAAUGAUGAGAUACUAUAAGGAAGUACGGAACAAGCAUAACUUCCAAACACUGAAGGAAGACUGAUUUCAGAAUGUCUUUCUCGUUUAAGCUAAAGGGUGACCUAGUAAUAAGGUACAGAAUCCCUAUUUGUUGUUCACCCACUUAUUCCUGCAUCCAUUCACUCAAAUACAUGUAUUGUGCAUGUCCUCUCUACAUCCAUGCUAGGAUCAGUAUCGUGGAGAACACGAAGACAGGAAUUUGUGGUAUAGCAUAUACACAUUCCUGUCUUUCUUUCUUAUACAUGCAUAAAUAUACAUAUACACAUGUAUGUAUAUGUGUGUAUACUGUUAACUAUGACCCAAAAAUAACACAUCAUAAUUCUAUAGCACUUUUCAAUUUGCAAACUGCUUUCACAUAUACUCUUAUUUACGCUCACCAGUGAUUUUCUAAGUAGGCAUUUUUAUCUCCAUUUUGUAGCGAGAAUAAUCUUGCUCUCUAUUUUUGUAGAUUUACUGUAGGAUGAUACAUGUGAUGUCCUAUAUUUUUAAAAGAUUAAAACCAUGAUUAUUCUUCCUAUUAUGAUAUUGGUUUUAGUAACUUUUCCUAAGGUGUGUUUUUAAAACUUCAAAUUCAUAGGAUAGGAUGUUAAUAGAGUAUUAACAAUAUGUACAAAAAAGAAAAAGAUUAUGAUAGAAAAUAAAUUUAUGCAACAUUUCUUUUAAAUAAAGUUUAAUCAAUUUCUUCAGAAUUUCUCUGAGCUUAUUAUAUGCUGCUAAUAUACCUUCUCAGUCUUUACGAACAGGGAUGCAGUGUGCUACAUUUCUCAAACUUACAUGAUAACAGAAUCUUUGUUGCUUGGAGUGUUUGGUAGGAAGUGUGAACACAUUUGGAAACUGUGGUGCAAAGAUACUGAGUAUAUUGUAGGUUCAUUCCUUUCUAGGUAUAAGUAUUUUCUCCUCUUAAGCAACCGUGGCAACUUGAAAUCAUAUUAACUCCCUGUCUGCUACCUGAAACCCAGAAAUUCCCUUUCAAAGGACUGAGAAUAUUAUGCAAUUAAAUGCAAAUUUUUGUAUUUCUUACUAUCUAAAUGCCCCAAUAAUCUUUAAAUACGAGAUCAGACUGCAGAGAUAAUGCAACUUCAUAAUUGGACAUUGCUAUAUAUACUUUACUUCCUCUAUUUUUAUAAGAAGCAAAGUUUAUUGCUAUACUUAAAAUAUAAAAAAAUUGAGUCUUUAAAAUAUACCAUUUGCUCCUUACGACAAAAGAGUAAAAUCUUACUUCUAAAACGUGGAAAUAUUUUCUGUUUUCUAGAAGCCCUUAUGAAAAUAGAAUAGAGCAUUGACAAAACUUUUAAAAUGGAUGGUAUUUGAUUUGCGUCUUCUGGAACUAACAGUAAUAUAAAUUGUUUGUGAUGACAUUUUAAGUACUGUGUUGUACUACUUCAGUAUUGAGGUUAACUGCUUUUAGAUAGACCUCCUUUGUCCAUCAGAAAUAAACUAUGUCCAAAUAAAUUUGCAGAUGUGUUGGGGAUUGAAAAAGUAUAGGACGGUGGAAAAGGAUAGAAAGGACUGAAUUGUUACUGGUUAGUGUUGUUUACAACUGGGAGUAUUAACUUCCUCAAAAGUCUCAAGACAUUUUAAAAACCUUGCCACCCACAGUCCGGUGUGCAGGACCAGUGACACCAGCAUCACUGUGGAGUUUGUUUAAAAAAGGAGGGUCUUGACUCCACCUCAGACUUCCUGAAUUAGAAUUUAUAUUAAAGGAGAUCCUUGGUUCAUUCCAGUGCACAUUAAGGCUUAAGGUACUGGUUUAUGUUUUAAAAAAAUAAAUCCAGGAGUCCUUCACUAGUGUCCACUUUAAUGGCUGGAAAACUUCAUUUUAGAUUUUUUCCUCUUUUCUUUAUCUCAUGCAUUCUUAAGAAUGCGAAUCUACAAGUAAGGGUUAGCUUUAAAAGUUUUUAUAAUUCUUUAUGUAAACCCUGAAAAAGUAGGGUUAGUAAAUUCAACCUUCUUUAGGAAAACCGAUGCAGUUACUGAAGUAAUCAGCCUACAACAUCAUAAGCCUGGUCAUUUUUUUUUCUUACAAAAGGCUUGUAAAUGCUAAGUAGUUAAUAACUAGAGAGCCGUUCAAAUCAAUCAGCAUUUAUGAGGUUUUAUCCAACGAGGAUCAGGAGAUUUAGGAUUAAAAUUGUCAAUGAAAAUUUGAAAAUGAUGUCUGACUUAAUCCCUUUUUUCCCAUUCUAGAUUCUUGGCCUUCCCACCCUACCCCGCAUGAUACAGAUACACUUUUAGGCAUCUGCAAUGGAUACGCUUGCUCCAGCCAAAGGGUAUUGAAAAAAGCAUGAACAGCUAAUAUGAAUGUCAAAAGGAAGUAACUUCAUCAACUGAAGAAUCUGGCCUGCAUAUCACUGGGCAUCAGGGCAUCUUUAUUGAAGAAGGCACAAAACCCUGGAAGCAUAAAUCGCCACAAGCAUUUAAAACCUGAACAUGCGAUAAAUAAAUCAACCUUAAAGGCCAUGUGGCGGGGAGCUCUUUACUCACCACUGUGACGUUGAAAGCAUACAGAAGAUCAAAAGGCAGGGCAGCGAUUAAAUCAAUGAUGAACCAGGUUGUGACAUAGUGGAUGCAAAUUGAUCUUGCUUCAAAGAUAACUUGGCCAGACUUGCUGACAUAAGUUGUUCGGAAAUUUAAAAUAAUAUCUGCUUGGGAAAAAAAAGGUUGAGAAAUAAAAGGAAGAGACAGAGAAGAAUAAAGAAGGUAGGAAGGACAAUGAAAGAAAGAAGAAAGGAAGGGAGACAGGCAGGCAAACAAGCAGGAAGGAAGGGAGGAAGAAAAUCGUAGAAAAUUAAAUAAAAUUAGGCAAAUGGCAACCACUUAGCCUAGUUCAGAUUGAUAAUAUCCAAAAUAUUCUCCUCUACAGAUCCAGUUCAACUAAACAGAUACUGAAGAAGGGUGAAAGUAAUAUUUUCUGAGCACAUAAUGUUCCAGACAUGAAGCUACAUGUUAAGAUUAUUAAAAUAAAUAAUCGUAGCAAUAGCAACAAUAGUCAUCACUUACUAAGUGUUCACUAUGUACCCAAUAUUGUUCUAAGAGCUUGGCAUAGGAUAUUUCACUUAAUCCUCAGUACAUCUCCUGAAGUAGACAGUGUUACUCUGAUUAAAGAGUCAGAAAUCAAGUCCCAGGAAGAAAAAGUAAUUCAUCCAAGAUCAUAUUGCCAAGAGUGGCAGAGUCAAGUUUUAAUACAGAUACAAGCCGGGCAUGGUGGCUCAUGCCUGUAAUCCCAGCACUUUGGAAGGACGAAGCAAAAGAAUUGCCCGAGCUCAGAAGUUCAGGAUGAGUCUGGGCAACAAAACGAGAACUCAUCUCUAUUAAAAUUCAAAAAAAAUUAGCUGGGCAUACUGGCACAUGUCUGUAGUCCCAGUUACUCCAGAGACUGAGGUGGAAGAAUCACUUGAGCCCAGGAAGUUGAGGCUUCAGUGAGCCAUGAUUGCACCAUGCACUCCAGCCUGGGCAACAGAGUGAGACCCUGUUUCAAAAACAAAAACAAAAAACCCACUAAAUAUAAUCUGAAAUCUAUAUUCCUUAUUUUAUAUAAUAUUACUUAUUUCCAUGUAUAAAAGUUUUACUAAUCUCUGUGUCGAUAUGGAAUUCAGCCCUGCCCUGAAGGCACUCCUAUUAACAAAGUACUGGUAGUUUCUUGUGUGAAUUUCUGGGUUAAAUUCUAUUUUAAUGAAAGAUGUAAUUGUUUUCAAUCUUUCCCUGCAUCAUUAUUUAGUUAUAUAUUAUCGAGCGUUUUACAAUAUAUGAGGUCCUCCUGAGUGCUGAUCAAAUGACAUCCGUGUGAGUUUCCAACAGCCCUAUGAGCUUGAAAGAAGACCCUGAGCAGGAGAAAGGAACACAACUCAGCUGAUAUUUUGAUGUCAGCCUUUUGAAUUCCUGAUCGGAGGAUCCAACUAAGCCAUCCCUGGACUUUUGACAUAUAGCAACUGUAAGACAGUAAAUGGAUGUUGUUUUAAGUUGAUAAGUUUGCUAUGCAGCAAUAAAAACUGAAACAAUA